rnacentral:rRNA from 1 species
AGUCACUGACAUUAGAUACCCCUGUAGUCCCAGCCGUAAACAAUGUGCGUUAGGUGUGUCGGUAACCACGCGUUACUGAUGCGCCGAAGAGAAAUCGUGAAACGCACCGCCUGGGAAGUACGGUCGCAAGGCUGAAACUUAAAGGAAUUGGCGGGGGAGCACCACAACAGGUGGAGCCUGCGGUUUAAUUGGAUUCAACGCCGGACAUCUCACCGGAUAAGACAGCUGAAUGAUUGUCAAUCUGAAGGUUUUACAUGACUAGCUG